rnacentral:rRNA from 1 species
AGCAGCCGCGGUAAUUCCAGCUCCAAUAGCGUAUAUUAAAGUUGUUGCAGUUAAAAGCUCGUAGUUGAAUUUCGGGAUCAGUAGAUUGGUCAUGCCUCUGGUAUGUACUGGUCUCACUGGUUCCUCCUUCCUGAUGAACCGUAAUGCCAUUAAUUUGGUGUUGCGGGGAAACUGGACUGUUACUUUGAAAAAUUGAGUGUUUAAAGCAGGCUAACGCUUGAAUACAUUAGCAUGGAAUAAUGAAAUAGGACGUUCGAUCCUAUUUUGUUGGUUUCUAGGAUUGACGUAAUGAUUAAUAGGGAUAGUUGGGGGCAUUAGUAUUCAAUUGUCAGAGGUGAAAUUCUUGGAUUUAUUGAAGACUAACUACUGCGAAAGCAUUUGCCAAGGAUGUUUCAUUAAU